UCUCCAAACCCGAGGAGCUGGAGGCAGUCGCCUGUGGGAGACGUUCCUCACCCAUGCUUGAGUCUCAGACAUUUUUGCUUGACACUUAAAGCGACGUUGCUAUUCCAAAGAGCUAUCUCUGCGUGAGCGGCGCGCAUUCCCGAUGGACCGGACUCGUGAGAGUGUGCGAUCGCGAGCGUUCACGCUUGUUGACAGACUUAUUCGUGUCUCUAACAAAGCAGUGCGUUGCCUCGUGCUAGAGAAUAGUUCACAGAAGUGGAUUACGCUGGGCUAGUUCUGAGAUCAUUUAGUCCAAAGAAUGAGGGGCAGCACUUUUCCACCCUGAAGACGACCGCUUGUGUUGUGAUCGAAACGUUGUAGUUUUUUGUUAUUUUUGUUAUUUUCUUUGAACCUAUCUACUUGACUUUACCGAAAGGCCCAAGAGUAUUAAUUCCUGCAGUCACGAAAGCUUUAACUCAAGAUUUAACCAUUAACUUAUCUCCUAUUUGUUUUAAAUGUGGAUCUCCCCAGUACUUUAAGGACUCAUUUAGACCUCAAUGAAAAAAAUGUUUUCCAUGGGGUAAUUCCCCCGUGACAGCUGCCACUACACAGAGAACAAAGGGUGUUUGGAUGGCAUGGGAGUGGCACUCUGAUAAAUACGAGACCAGAGCACCUGGACACUACUACAGUUGUAGCUCAUCCAGCAGUCACGAUGAAGGCACUGCUCAGCAUCGUCCUCGGUCUUCUCUUCCAGGAGCUCGCUUGCUCCACUUAUCUGGUCCCUGGCGCCUACACUAACGGCUCCCGGGAUGCGGAGGGCCAGUGCGUGUGUAACGUCUAUCUGCCGGACCCCGUCUUCCCGGCCGACAUGGUGGAGCAGCUGCAGCUCAGCACCCAGACGAUUGCCACGGCCUUCACGGUGGAGUCACAGAAGGUGGCAGAGAACCACGCCACGCUGGUGCGCUACACGGCGCUGCUGUAGAACCUGACGGUGCGCGUGGAGCGAAUGGAGCAGGGGCAUGACCGCUACACAGAGCUGGACUUUAAGCUGAUGCGGGUGGAGAUCAGGAAGAUGAAGCAGCUGGUACAGCAGCUGAAGCUGGAUGUCUCCAGCGCCACUCUCGAUCGUCUACACCUCUCGGUUAGUCACGAUUGUUGCAAAGCCAAACAAUUGUUUCCAUCAGGGGUGCAGCAAUGGCCACAGUUCCUUUUGGGAAGGUUUGCAGACUCAGGUUUUGCAUUUGAAGGUGGCAAGUAAAAGGGGAGUACCUUGGAUCACUGGAAUGCGGAGGCAGCAGUUCUUGCAGUCGCUGGACUGUGUUGGAUGGCUUCUCAUAGAGAGCUGAAUUGAACUUCAUGAGACAAUUUGUGAGGGAAAUGUUAAAACAACUGCUUCAACAUGUUAGAGCAACUGCUUCAACAUUUUCAUAAAUUCUGUGAAAUCUGUACACGGUAUCUGAACAUGGAAAACUUGCAUGCACAAAAUGGUUGUGUUAAUGCUCGUGAAAAUGUGAAAUUGCUUGCAUAGGGAUGAGGAAUUGUUACUAUGUAAAACCACAAUGAUUUAUUACAUCACUGCUGUACCUGGAGAUAAUGUUUUAACGUCAUUUGUCUUAAUUCCUAUCGGGGUGUAGAAAGGGUUUCAGGUCUCAAUACUCUUUGAUAUUUAUUUCCGUGUACCACACAAGCAUACUUUCCACAAUACACAUACUGCCCACCAUUAAAGGUCAUACACGUGCUUAAUUGCAGAGUCUAUUGUUGGAAUUUCUCAGGGUCGGGGGUUCCUAUUUUAAUGAACACAAGAGGGGUAGUCAAGUGGCUCACACGUGACAUGUUAGUUAAUGGAGUUUUCAUGUAAUUUGACACGGUGUGGGUCCCAGGAUCACUGGGCCUGGGGGUCCUGGAUGUAUGGGGGGAGGAGGUUAAAGGGUUGCAGUUUCCAAGUAUUAUUAACCAUUCACAUAUUUGAAAAAAAGUGAAUAUCAUGUUUACUGUAUGAUGUAAUAAAAUAAACUGGUAGGUUAUGAAAACGAAACAAGAAUUGAAAUAAAAAAUACUUUGUUAGAGCUGCCUGAGGUUAUAAUUUUAAGCAUUGUUUCCUCCAAAUGAACGUUUUAAUUAUUGAUUAUACAAAUGUAAUAUGUGCCAUAUUUUUAUGAAAAGUAAUUUUCUUUCAGAGAAAGAACCGUAAUACUAUUAAUUGUUGUAAAUGUUCAGUGCAGCAACUCAAAACAGAACUUGCUAUGUAGUGGUGAAUUUAGCAGUUUCACGUGAAGGCAGAUGCAGGCAGCUCAAUUAAAAUAUAUCUGGACUGGAAUUAUAGUUCACUACUUCUACUGUCAAAUAAGGCACCGCGUGAAUAUGGCUUGCGUGGAUACAAUGUUGAUGUUAUCGCUUUGUGAGGGUUGUUCUCCUGGCACUCCCGUUAGUUCUCAAAUGCCAGACAGAGUGCGGAAAACCAUCUGUAUGGGCGGGGAUAGUGAGUGAGUGGGCGUGGUUAUGUAAAAGUGGGUGGGCUGAUGGAGGGAGGGCCCUACCAGCUCAGCACAUUUCCCAGUUGAGUCUCCCAGACAUUUGGUAGCCCUGCCCCUACAGUUGACUUGUCACGUGCAAUGACAGGAACAACGUGCUGCUCAUCCGACGCCAGGUGGACACUGCGCAAGCAGCUGCAGGACUGCCAAGAGGAGGCCUCUAAUGCUGGCCAGCCCCCCGGCAGCAAUCCUGGCCAGCAGCCCCCCAUAGGCUCAUGCGUGCACAGUGGCUUGCAGAACGUCAGCGCACCAUUUGUUCACAUUCUGAACAUGCAAGGUGCAGCGUUCCAAUAUAGUGCAUUCGGGAAAGACCCACUCCCACUGAAGGCACCUGAGGAUGUGUAUUGGUGAUUUAGCAGCAAUCAGGUUUACUUUACUGUGAUGCAGAUGUUUUCUAACUACCGGGCACUGCAGACGUAUGUGCAGAUGGAACAAAAGACCCUUGUGGAUCUGAUUGUGGUUACGGAAUGGAUGCGAUGAUGUACAAAAACCACAUGUUUUACAGAUGCUCUACUGGUGUCUCUGUUUGCAAAUAUAACCUGACAGCCUCUACAAUUACCAGAGUAAAUCUCCCCCAAGCGUCAGGAAGCAAUUUGUAUCCUUACCUGGGCUCUACCUAUUCUGAUAUGGAUUUCUCUGGAUGAACAAGGUCUGUGGGAAGUUGUCCCUUGCUUUAUUUAAUUAUACUUACCUUGCUGUUAUUAGCAGCUGGACUACCACGCAGUCCAAACCCUCAGUUAGCAAUGGCUUCGUGUUGUGUGGAGUCCUGUACCUCACGUGCACCUCCAGCCUUAAAACUGAAGAGAUCUACUUUGCUUUUGACACCAAAACUAACUACGAGAGGUUAAUGAGCAUCGUGAUUGCAAAGCCCUUGGAAAAGAUGAGCAGCCUUAACUACAACCCAGCUGAUCACAAGCUGUACAUGUAUAAUCAUGGAUAUUUGGUUACUUAUGAUGUGACCUUUAAACCCAUAUAAUUGAUAAUAAUACGUAGUUCCUUAGGGUUUUCAUUGUAUGCGAGCGUCAACAAAGUAAUUCAAUCUGUGGAGUAUGAUUGAUAGCUGCCAAGGGCAUAUACUGCACCGUGUAAUUUUUUUUAAAUGAGCGUGCAUCGGUUAUUUUCCCCACAUUUAAAAUAGAUGAUGCUGCACCAUUUGUAGAUCGAGACAAACUCCAGGUGUGAAAUACAUAGAAAUUAUAUAAAACAAACGUUAUGCUCCAAUUAUGACAAGCAAAUGCAUGGAUGCUGUGAAUGUGGCAUUGGUGUUUAUUCAGUUCGGUAUUUGUUCUAAACGUCAUUUAAACGGCAAUAAAAAAAUAACUUGCGCUACGCGGGAGUUUGUCACCAGCACAGCUGUAUGUGGAACUUCUUUCGCACCGUACGUAGACAACCGUGCUAAUCGGAGAUCGUGGGCAUUUUGGGUUAGCAACCUCACUGUGCACUGCGUUUUAACCACAAUGCAGCCGCCUCAACAAGAACAAAUGGUGGCCCAGCUAUGCAACUACUGCAACAUCCUGCGUGUUAAGACAAGUUUGGGGAGUGCGCCUUCUUGUCUGCUGGGCCUAACUAAAGCUUGGAACUCACUUCCUACCAAAUGGUGUGCCGAGACAAAUUAAAACAUGUCGGAAACUUCAAAAAUCGAAUCUUUUCAAUCUUCAACUAGGAAUUUUAAAAAAAUGUGAUAUGCUGCUGGCCAGUGUUGUAAGCUGCACAAUACAAGAGGGCCUCUCACCUUCGUCAAGUUACAUUCCUAGAAAAGGUGCAGGAAGUCAAAACAACGUAAAUCGAGUCCGAUUUUUCCCAGAGAAACAAUGGAAUAAUAGGGUUUCUGAUUCCAGCCUUGCGGAGGGGUGGAGUUGAGGCGACUUGGACCCAACCCCAUAGCCAAUCACAAGCUGGCAUUCGCUUAUAGUCCUGCUUAUACUUGAUUAAUGAAUACAAUUGUUAAUUUGUUCGUUAAAAUUAGUAAGUCACAUGUUAAUUGUUGAGUGAAUUAAAUGUACAUUUAUUUUUAAGUUCUAUUCGUAGCGCCUUCAUUGAAGGCGCUUGACAAGGGUUUUAAGUGGUACAAUGAGUGCAGCUCCAGGUGAUAUGGUGAACAGGGAUGGGGGGGGGGUAUGGGAGGGAAGUUGGUGGAUACGGGAACUACCGGUGGGUACCCAGGGGAUGGAGGGAAGGAUUGGCCAGGGAGAAGAGGUGGAGGUCUUGAGGGAGGAGCGGAAACUCGAAAGGGGGAGGGCGCUCGCUGCUUCAUGUGGAGGGGAAGUUUGUUGCAAUGCAAGAGGGCGAGUAGGGAUAAGGAGCAGUCAUGGGGAUUGUGCACAA